UACGAAGGGGGCUAGCGUUGUUCGGAAUUACUGGGCGUAAAGCGCGCGCAGGCGGUUCUUCAAGUCAGAGGUGAAAGCCCAGAGCUCAACUCUGGAAUGGCCUUUGAGACUAGAGAACUAGGGUACGGGAGAGGUGAGUGGAAUUCCGAGUGUAGAGGUGAAAUUCGUAGAUAUUCGGAAGAACACCAGUGGCGAAGGCGGCUCACUGGCCCGUUACCGACGCUCAGGCGCGACAGCGUGGGGAGCCAAACAGGG
rnacentral:rRNA from 1 species